rnacentral:rRNA from 1 species
GCCAGACUCCUACGGGAGGCAGCAGUGAGAAAUAUUGGUCAAUGGCCGAGAGGCUGAACCAGCCAAGUCGCGUGAGGGAAGACGGCCCUACGGGUUGUAAACCUCUUUUGUCGGGGAGCAAAGCGAGUCACGUGUGACUCAUUGAGAGUACCCGAAGAAAAAGCAUCGGCUAACUCCGUGCCAGCAGCCGCGGUAAUACGGAGGAUGCGAGCGUUAUCCGGAUUUAUUGGGUUUAAAGGGUGCGCAGGCGGGGGUGAAAGUCGGGGGUCAAAUGUGGGGGCUCAACCCCGGCCUGCCGUUGAAACUGGCGGCCUCGAGUGGGCGAGAAGUAUGCGGAAUGCGUGGUGUAGCGGUGAAAUGCUUAGAUAUUGCGCAGAACUCCGAUUGCGAAGGCAGCAUACCGGCGGCGAUCUGACGCUGAGGCACGAAAGCGUGGGUAUCGAACAGGAUUAGAUACCCGCGUAUAA